UAUUAGGUUGGUGCAAAAGUAAUUGCAGUUUUAACUUUUUUAAUGGCAAAACCCGCAGUGACUUUUGCACCAACCGAAUAAU
rnacentral:miRNA from 1 species